rnacentral:rRNA from 1 species
AACGAACGCUGGCGGCAUGCCUAACACAUGCAAGUCGAACGAGACCUUCGGGUCUAGUGGCGCACGGGUGCGUAACGCGUGGGAACCUGCCCUUAGGUUCGGAAUAACUCCCCGAAAGGGGUGCUAAUACCGGAUAAUGUCUUCGGACCAAAGAUUUAUCGCCUUUGGAUGGGCCCGCGUUGGAUUAGCUAGUUGGUAGGGUAAAAGCCUACCAAGGCGACGAUCCAUAGCUGGUCUGAGAGGAUGAUCAGCCGCACUGGGACUGAGACACGGCCCAGACUCCUACGGGAGGCAGCAGUGGGGAAUAUUGGACAAUGGGCGAAAGCCUGAUCCAGCAUUGCCGCGUGAGUGAUGAAGGCCUUAGGGUUGUAAAGCUCUUUUACCCGGGAUGAUAAUGACAGUACCGGGAGAAUAAGCUCCGGCUAACUCCGUG